GCAUAAUCUCUACGGAGAAAAGCAGGGGAUCGCAACACCUUGCGCUUUUGGAGCGGCCGAUGUCUGAUUAACUAGUUGGUGAGGUAAAGGCUUACCAAGGCGUCGAUCAGUAGCUGGUCUGAGAGGACGACCAGCCACACCGGGACUGAGACACGGCCCAGACUCCUACGGGAGGCAGCAGUGGGGAAUUUUGGACAAUGGGGGAAACCCUGAUCCAGCCAUGCCGCGUGAGUGAAGAAGGCCUUCGGGUUGUAAAGCUCUUUCAGCCGGAACGAAACGGUCACAGCUAAUACCUGUGAUUACUGACGGUACCGGAAGAAGAAG
rnacentral:rRNA from 1 species